UACAGUUGAUCAGGUUCGGCCUGCCAGGCCUUUUACAGUUGAUCAGACAGUGUUAGACCUUGACUUUGGGUUUGCCAGACCAAGUCAGGCUUCUCCCACGAAAUUAUGACAAGUUGAGGCCUAUAGGCCAGACUAAGUUAAGGCCUAUACUCUCUGUGACAAUUGUGUUUCCAUAGAUGGUUGCCAUGAUCAUGGACCACCACGUCAAAUGAGACAUUAACAUUAGGUAACAUUUCGACUUCUAAGGUUGAGACGAAACAUAGGCAAAUCCUAGUCAUAGAUGAUAUAUGGAUCCUAUGAUCGUUAAAAUCGUAGAGUCAUGACUUAGAUCGUAGAGUAAUUACUUAACAAUCGUAGAGUCAUUACUUAAAUCGUAGAGUUUAGAGUGACUUCAACUUUUACUAUAGCGGAGCUACUCUACUAUCGUAGAGCUACUCAACUACUCUCCCUUCUCUUUCUUUCUAGCGUCCCCCAACUCCGGAUCCCAAAUACACAUACAAGAACAAAGAAAUCUGAGAAUGAAAGCUUAUCCGUCGACGACAGGACAUCUCACAACAGGUAGCAACUAAUAAGCUAACAAAGCAGGUCAGCCCUGUUGCACCGAACCAGGCUGGACUCAGGCCACAUGCAAGUCUAGGUUGGGCUUUUGGCCAGGCCGGUCCAUGCCUGAUUUCUAUACUAAAAGGGAAGCCUUUUCCAGUUUUCUAAGUUGGGCUGGUUCAAGCCUUGACUAGAUCGGACCAAGUCCAGACUGCAGGCCACAAACCUUUUGUACAUUCCUGCC
rnacentral:lncRNA from 1 species